UACGUAGGGUGCAGGCGUUAAUCGGAAUUACUGGGCGUAAAGCGUGCGCAGGCGGUUUGCUAAGACAGGUGUGAAAUCCCCGGGCUUAACCCCGGAAUUGCACCUCAAACUACAUGGCUAGAGCAUUGGAGAGGGUAGCGGAAUUCAUGGUGUAGCAGUGAAAUGCGUAGAUAUCGUGAGGAACACCAGAGGCGAAGGCGGCUACCUGGACAAUUGCUGACACUCAGGCACGAAAGCGUGGGGAGCAAAAGGG
rnacentral:rRNA from 1 species